rnacentral:piRNA from 1 species
UNCACCUGUCAUGAGAGUGUUCACUGCCUGC